UUUCAAAAGGUUUAUUACUUGUGCAAUAAUUUAGGCUUCCAGUAUUUUUAAAAAAUAUGCCUGUGACAAGCAACACACAUCUAAAAUAUACUGGUUGUUUUUACUUCUGUAGUCUGUAACAAAAUGGACUGCCUUUGAUUUCUUGGGACCAUAUUGCUCCAAUAUCAUAAAUAAAACAACAGUUACAUUCCCUUUAAAACUAUGAAGACAGUGAUUACAUACUUUAAUAUUUUAAUGAAUAUCAUAACAUCUAAUAAAGCGAUGGAUCUGUUGUGAAAUUCUCAAAUACUCAAAGCUAAUAUUACAAAGUUAAUAGUGAGACCAAGAUCACCCAAACUACAGCAGUCGGCACCGAACAAACAGUGAUGUAAUCUGCACCUAAAUGUAAAUACAGUAGCUACCGUUAUUAGUAGUAGUAUGGCACACAUGAGCUAAAUACUUAAUACAGCAUUUAGAAACAUCUGUCCAGAUCAGAUGUGCAGAUGGUUCCGUGGGCAUCUGGAUGGUGAGGGCUUGGAGCCAGAGAGCGGAAAUUUGUUAACUUAAUUCAAAAUCUAUAUUUACAAAGCUGGAAAUGUCAAAAUAGUCAUUUUAGACCGGGGAAUUCUCAAAUUAAAACCUGUCUAUUGCCAAAACUUUUUUCUUGAAAAAUGCUUCAACAUGGCAUCCCCAUAAAUCUUAGCUUACACAUGUCAAAACAAGCGCCAUCAUUACAGAUGUGGAUUUGGGGAAAAACAAAAAACAAAAAAAGCACCUUCAGUGUCUUUAUUCUGAAGGCGCUGAUGCAACACUGGCUCCAAGCCCGUGAGCUGGGGUUUGGGAAUCUGUUUUCUACCCUUCCUACUCUGUCUCUCUGAUCUUUCUAUCCGCACUUUGCACUCCUCUAUCUGACUCGUUUUCAUUCAUUCCAAGUCUGGAUACACUCGUAGUAACAGUUUAUAUCACAGGAAGCGAGUUUGUUCAGUUGGAGUCCUGCAUUUCCACUCCUGAAGCUUCUUCACCUCCACCUUCACUGGACUGCUCCUCAUCUGGGAAAAAAACACAGAUAGAGGAUUUUUCAUCAGUUUUUCAAACAGGCUAUUUUCAUUUCUGUGUUUCUGUGCAUUUGAAGUUAAAGGUUCAAGAUAGAAUUAGAUGAGAAGAUUACUAUCG
ensembl:lncRNA